AAUGAACGUUGGCGGCGUGGAUUAGGCAUGCAAGUCGAGCGAGAUAGGUUUGGUGCUUGCAUUGAACCUUGAAAGCGGCGAAAGGGAGAGUAACGCGUAGGGCACCUACCCUCAGGCCUGGGAUAGCGGCGGGAAACUGCCGGUAAUACCGGAUAAUGUCUCCGGACCAAAGGUGUGAUUCCGUCUGAGGAUGGUCCUGCGUCCUAUUAGUUAGUUGGUGAGGUAACGGCUCACCAAGACCGUGAUGGGUAGCGGGCGUGAGAGCGUGGCCCGUCUCACUGGGACUGAGACACUGCCCAGACACCUACGGGUGGCAG
rnacentral:rRNA from 1 species